CGAGGGGGUGAAUUAGACAUAAUCAAAGAUUAAGGACUUAACCACAAGACAACUGUGAUGCCUCAGGUAAAAGGAGCAUUAUCCCAACCAUGAGUUCUCAUGUGACAUGGAAUAUAAGAACUCUUUUGUUGAUCACGUUCAGUGAACUCAUUCUCUUAUUGAGCACCUACGUACUUGUCUUGAUGUCACACACACCAAUGACUCGAGACUAGUCACUCUCCCUAAGAGAAGACACAGUACGUACUGAUCUUAACGGACUGUCAAUGCCCAAUUGGUAAUCCUAUGAUCAGGAACAUUU
rnacentral:lncRNA from 1 species